CAGGCCAGCAGUGGCAUCUCCAGUUUACAGAUGGAGAAGCAGAAAAUUCAUGGGAUGGCCGAGGUUUCACACCGACGCGACCAUGAUGCUGGCACACCACACACCCUACUCGCUCCUGCUGUCCCAUCCACAGGCCUGUAAACGCUGUGAAUAUGUGGGAUGGGGGCUCCUGAGCACCUGGAUCUUUCUCUCAGGCAAUCUGGUCUGCCCCUUGAAGAACCCAACAGCUCAGCCCUCUGAUUUGUCCCUACUGACACGGUCGACUUCACUUCCCAGACCUACCUGACCUCUAGUAAACAAAAGACUCCUACAAAUUGCUGAGAAAAAGACAAACGACCCAAUACAAAAAUAGGCCAAGGUAGAACCAGACAAUUCACAGAAGAGGAGCUGCAGAUGUUGAAAAGACUUUCAACAUGUCUGAGUAUCAGGAACAUUUGAAUGAGACCAGCACCCCUGAGGGUGACAAAAUAUUUGAAAGAACUACAGGUGGUUUUGGUGUGAAAUGUUCUCCUUAAUUCCUCUUUUGAUCCAGAAACACCAAGGCCAAAUAGCUGGGCUGGGGCGCCACUGCCCACAGGGAGCAUCGCAGACAAGGCUCCUCUGGCUUCCUGUUCCGGCAUCCUCUGAGGACUUCUUGCUUGCUUUCUCAAGGUGGCUGAUGCACCUCCAUGCAUCAUAUCCAUGUCUCAACUCAAAGAAGGGGGCAAAAAUGUUCACGCCAGCUUAGUGUAUUUCUUAUUUAUCAGGAAAACAACAACUUUCACAGAAGCCCCAUAAACAGACUUUUAUAUCUCCUUGGCCAAAAUGUCACCACAUGGCUACUCCUAGCUGCAAAGGAUUCUGAGAUGUGAGACUUUUUACCUGAGCACAUCACCACCUUGAACAGAAUCAGGUGCUGUCAGUGAGAAAGGAAUAAAUAUUGACUGGCAAUUAACAGCUUCUGUCAUAAUAAUCAAACCACCUUCUUUUGAAAUAGUUUUUUAUUUUUGGUAAAAUUUAUCCAUUGCUUACUGCUCUUAGUCAAUGGUUCUGCAUGUGAUUCUAGCAAUUCUCCAAUAUCGCUUUUUAAAAUAGAAUCCAAAUAUGAUUCGUUUAAAAAGCCAAUUAAAAUUCUACAUAUUUAUCCUAGUUCAUAAAAAUCCUACUUUUAGAAAAAGAUUUGUAGUUAAACUUUGCAAUUGACUUGCAUUAUAUUCUAGGAAGGGACCUUUCUAUGACCAUCAAAAAUAUUGAUGCAUUUGUCUAGGGUAGAUGCGAACUGCAAACUGAGAGGAAUAGUUGAUGGUAGGAGAAAUUCAGGGAGGACUUCCUGGAGGAGAUGAUGCAUGAACUGAAUCCUGAAGGGUGAGUGUAUUAGUUUCCUGGGGCUGGCAUAGCAAAUUACAACACUUGAUAACUUGAAACAAUGGAAAUUUAUUUUCUCACAGUUUUAGAGGCUAGAAGUCCAACAAUCAAGCAAGGCCAGGUGUGCUCUGAAGAUUCUUUAGGUGAGAUUUCCUCCUUGUCUCUUCCACCUUUUGGUGGCCCCAAGUGUUCCUUGGUUUGUGGCAGCACAGCUCCAAUCUCCGCCUCCAUCUUCACAGGGCUGUCUGUGUUUCUCUCCUCCUCUUCCUAUAAAGACAUUUGUCAUAGGCUUUAGGGCUUACCUGGAAAAUCCAGGAUGAUCCCAUCUCAAGAUCCUUAACUUAAUCAUAUGUGCCUUUUUCCAAAUACGAUCACAUUCUCAGGCUCCAGAUGGAUAUAUAUUUUAGGGGAAGACCAUUCAACCCACUACAAUGAGUAAGAGGUAGCCAAGCAAAGAUGGGAAGGGUGCUCUCAGUAAAGGGAUUGGCACAGGGCAUAACAUGGCUUUCUGAUUUGGCGAAACCACAGUGUACUCUUACUAGAUCAUGAAUUGUGAGGAGGAGUGUCGUAAAAAAUGAGUGGAGAGGCAGUGUUGGGGGGACAGACUUGGCACCAAGGAGUUUAAAUUGUAUCACUGUGAUUCAGGUAAAGAUGCUGAGGUCCUGAAUGAGGGUUGUAAAUGGGAUGAUCGUGUCUGAGAGAGAAAGUCAGCAAGGCUUGGGGAAAAACUAAACAUGGUGAGAAAAAAAUAGGGAUGAUUGCUGGAUUUCUGGUUUGGGAAUUGACUAAAUGGUGACCCUAUUAACUGAAUUAGCAAUAAGAAGGAAGAUAAGGUCAUUUGGGGGUACGUAUAUGGGGGCAGGAGGUGCAGGAGAUUAAUUUUGGACAUAUCAAUUUAAAGUUCACAUGGACACCCCAUAAGUGAAUGCCCAAAUAAAACUUGAGACAGGAAACUGAAGGUCAGAGAUAAAAAGGCUUGUGUAAACCUGUAAGGACCAUGGAUAAAAGCAUUUAAGAAGAGCUUAAAGGAUAAGGGCAGGGGACCAGGAACAGAAUCCUGGGGGGUGCUUAUGGGCAAAGAUUGGGUGAAGGACAUCAACCAGGAAAGGGUCAUCAGAAAGGAAGGAGGGGAGCUCAGAGGACUCCUAGGAUUCCUAGGAGCAAAGGAGCAGAUGAUUCAAGGAGGAAAUGCUCAACAGAGUCUGAUGUAGGAGAGAUCCAGAAAAUGCCUAUAGUACUCAGAAGGUCUACCAGGAUUGGACAUGGGGCUCAUCAUCAAACUCUGCAAGUUCUACCAAGUGGGGAAACCGGGGGGUGG